rnacentral:rRNA from 1 species
GACGAACGCUGGCGGCGUGCCUAAUACAUGCAAGUUGAGCGCUGAAGGUUGGUACUUGUACCCACUGGAUGAGCAGCGAACGGGUGAGUAACGCGUGGGGAAUCUGCCUUUGAGCGGGGGACAACAUUUGGAAACGAAUGCUAAUACCGCAUAAAAACUUUAAACACAAGUUUUAAGUUUGAAAGAUGCAAUUGCAUCACUCAAAGAUGAUCCCGCGUUGUAUUAGCUAGUUGGUGAGGUAAAGGCUCACCAAGGCGAUGAUACAUAGCCGACAGGAGAGGGUGGUCGGCCACACUGGGACUGAGACACGGCCCAAACGCAUACGGGAGGCAGCAGUAGGGAAUCUUCGGCCAUAGACGAAAGUCUGACCGAGCAACGCCGCGUGAGUGAAGAAGGUUUUCGGAUCGUAAAACUCUGUUGGUAGAGAAGAACGUUGGUGAGAGUGGAAAGCUCAUCAAGUGACGGUAACUACCCAGAAAGGGACGGCUAACUACGUG